rnacentral:rRNA from 1 species
GACGAACGCUGGCGGCGUGCUUAACACAUGCAAGUCGAACGGAAAGGCCCCUUUCUGGGUACUCGAGUGUCGAACGGGGGAGUAACACGUGCGUAACCUUCCCUUGCCUUCGGGAUAACUUCAGGUAACUGGGGCUAAUACCGGAUAGGAAUCCUUUCUGCAUGGUGGGGGUUGGAAAGCUUCGGCGGUUUUGGAUGGACUUGCGGCUUAUCUGCUUGUUGGUUGGGUAGUGGAUUACCGAGGCUUUUACGGGUAGCCGGCCUGAGAGGGCGACCGGCCACAUUGGGACUGAGAGACGGCCGAGACUGCUACGGGAGGCAGAAGUGGGGAAUCUUGAACGAUGGGCGGCAGCCUGAUGCAGAAAGGCCGCGUGCGGGAUGACGGCCUUAGGGUUGAAAAACGCAUUCAGAAGGAGCGAAGCUUGUGGUGACGGUACCUGCAGAAGAAGCACCGGCUAACUACGUG